UGAAGAGGGAAAAGCUCAAGUUUGAAAUCUGGGGGGACCGUCCAGAGUUGUAAGCUGGAGAGGUGUCGUCCGAUGCGGUCCAGGCUCAAUUUCCUUGGAACAGGAGGUCAUGGAGGGUGAGAACCCCGUACAUGGCUUGGGCGCCGCCGCCCUUGUGACGCAUCCUCUAAGAGUCGGGUUGUUUGGGAAUGCAGCUCAAAAUGGGUGGUAAAUUUCAUCUAAAGCUAAAUAUGGGCGAGAGACCGAUAGCAAACAAGUAGAGUGAUCGAAAGAUGAAAAGUACUUUGAAAAGAGAGGGAAACAGUACGUGAAAUUGUUGAAAGGGAAGCGUUUGGCAUCAGCCCAUGGCGGUGGUACGAACAUCCUUGCUUCGGCAUGGUGCACUCGUCCACCGUUGGGCCAGCGUCGGCUCUGCCUGCCAGAGAAAGGCCUUGGGGAAGUGGCUCUCCCUUCGGGGAGCGUGUUAUAACCCAUGGUGUCAUGUGGCUUUGGCGGG
rnacentral:rRNA from 1 species